GGGGAAUAUUGCACAAUGGGCGCAAGCCUGAUGCAGCGACGCCGCGUGAGGGAUGACGGCCUUCGGGUUGUAAACCUCUUUCAGUAGGGAAGAAGCGAGAGUGACGGUACCUGCAGAAGAAGCGCCGGCUAACUACGUGCCAGCAGCCGCGGUAAUACGUAGGGCGCAAGCGUUAUCCGGAUUUAUUGGGCGUAAAGAGCUCGUAGGCGGUUUGUCGCGUCUGCCGUGAAAGUCCGAGGCUCAACCUCGGAUCUGCGGUGGGUACGGGCAGACUAGAGUGAUGUAGGGGAGACUGGAAUUCCUGGUGUAGCGGUGAAAUGCGCAGAUAUCAGGAGGAACACCGAUGGCGAAGGCAGGUCUCUGGGCAUUUACUGACGCUGAGGAGCGAAAGCAUGGGGAGCGAAC
rnacentral:rRNA from 1 species